UUAUACUUCCAAUUAGUGAAAAGAGAGAUCAGUCACUUUUUUCGUUUUGUUGAGCCAAUUUGGUUAUCAAAUGUUGGAUCUACUGAAGAAGAACGAGUUGAAUGGAUAUCAAAGCGUAUGAUUGAUUCAAAUCCAGGUCAAAUGUGGUUGUUGCCAUAUCAUAAGGGAAAUCAUUGGAUGCUUAAAAUAAUGGAUUUUGAUCACCAAUUGUGCUAUUUCCUGGAUUCUCUUGACAAUUUUCCACCAGAUGAAAUCAAAUCUCUCAUUUCUUGUGUUUUUCAACAUUUGCGCACAAAUAAUGCGAAAACUAAGGAAGUCGCAUGGAGAACUGUUAAGUGUCCUCGUCAACCAUGAAGAUCAGUACAAUGUGGAUUCUAUGUUAUGAGGAUGAUGAAAGACUUCGUGACAAAUGAGUUUUCAAUGCGAUGGCUAACUAGUAAAUGUGGCGGGAAGAAUUCUUACACAAAGGAUGAGAUCAAUGAAGUACGUGAAGAAUGGGCACAAUGCGUUAUGGAUUUGAUGAGUACUACAUAAGUCUACUCACUUUUGUUUACUUAGACUUUUAAAGAGAUAUACUUAGAAUAACUUAGACUUUCUUAGAGAUACACACACUUUUAUUGUCUAACUAUAGUUUACACUUUUGUUGCUUAUAUGAGUAAUUUUGUAAUUAACUUAAGACUCAUCAUUAUUUUGGAUAUUUAAUUCAAAUUCUAGUAUUUUAUAUUACUGUGAUA